rnacentral:rRNA from 1 species
UACGUAGGUGACCAGCGUUGUCCGGAUUUACUGGGCGUAAAGAGCGCGCAGGCGGUCGUUCAAGUCGAGUGUGAAAGCCCCCGGCUCAACUGGGGAGGGUCACUCGAUACUGAUCGACUUGAAGGCAGGAGAGGGAAGCGGAAUUCCCGGUGUAGUGGUGAAAUGCGUAGAUAUCGGAAGGAACAUCAGUGGCGAAAGCGGCUUCCUGGACCAGUACCGACGUUCAGGCACGAAAGCGUGGGGAGCAAACAGG